UGGAUACAGAUAUGGCUAAGCAUUUGCUGGAGAUUGGCCUGGAAGAAUCGUUAUACAAUGAUCAUGCCGACGGGUAAGAGGUAGGUUGCAUAGUUCGUCAAAUAUAUCUGAAAAUUCAGCAAGCAAAGGAAGUAGAUUUGGAUCUUCCAAUUUUGUUGGCUCUCCCUUAGUUUGCUGUUGAAGUUGUACCAAAAAGCCAC
rnacentral:lncRNA from 1 species